UCCAACCCACUAAUAACACCUUCUGGUCUAGAGGAACUGGUAUCAGGCACACAACUGUAGCCCAAGACGCCUUGCUCAGCCACACCCCCAAGGGUACUCAGCAGUGAUUAAUAUUAAACAUAAGCGAAAGCUUGAUUUAAUUAUGGUUAAGAGAGCCGGUUAAACUCGUGCCAGCCACCGCGGUUAUACGAGAGGCCCUAGUUGACAUCAUCGGCGUAAAGCGUGAUUACAGGAUAUUAAAAACUAAAGCCAAAAGAUCUCAAAGCUGUUAUACGCGCAUUGAAAUCAGUAGGCCCUUAAACGAAAGUAGCUUUAAACAAGCACCUGGACCUCACGACAGCUGGGAAACAAACUGGGAUUAGAUACCCCACUAUGCCCAGUCGUAAACUUUGAUGAUAAUAUACCUAUACCAUUCGCCAGGGAACUACGAGCGCAUUGCUUAAAAUCCAACGGACUUGGCGGUGCCCCACACUCCACCUAGAGGAGCCUGUUCUAUAACUGAAACUACUCGUUAAACCUCACCGCCCCUAGCCAUACAGUCUAUAUACCGCCGUCGCAAGCCCACCCUGUGAGGGAGAAGCAGCAAGCAAGAUGRGUAUAGCCCAGAACGUCAGGUCGAGGUGUAGCACAUGAGGCGGAAAGAAAUGGGCUACAUUUUCUGAAAAACAGAACACACGAAUAUAACUAUGAAACAUAUUACUUGAAGGAGGAUUUAGCAGUAAAAAGAAAGCAGAGAGUUCUUUUGAAGCCGGCUCUGGGGCGCGCACACACCGCCCGUCACUCUCCACUAGAUUAUUCUAAGAAUAACAUGGCAGCAAUAAAAUUAAUAAACAAAAUAUGCCCCCAACUCAGCGGAGACAAGUCGUAACACGGUAAGUGUACCGGAAGGUGCACUUGGACUAAC
rnacentral:ncRNA from 1 species